CGGGAAGUAGCGCAGUUUGGUUAGCGCGCAACGUUCGGGACGUUGAGGCCGAGGGUUCGAAUCCCUCCUUCCCGA
rnacentral:tRNA from 1 species